AGACAACAAAAUGUUUAAUAUUAUUAUUUUGUCACCUUAGGUCGAUCGGUAUCUCACAUUCUUAAUUUAUUAAGAAUUUUAUUUCCUAAGUUUUUCUAGGUCACACCCAUUAUUUUUACCCUGGGCCAUUAGCUCAGGUGGUUAGAGCGCACCCCUGAUAAGGGUGAGGUCCCUGGUUCAAGUCCAGGAUGGCCCAUAUCUCUAUGUUGGGGGUAUAGCUCAGUUGGUAGAGCGCCUGCUUUGCAAGCAGGAUGUCAGCGGUUCGAGUCCGCUUACCUCCACUGAUUACCACCUCUUUCGUAAUCUUUAGAAGGGAAAUGUAAUGAGUAGUGAUCAUUUUCUGAACGAAUCUAGCUUCCUGAUGAAUCCAUUAAGAUGCUGGACUCAUUGAAUCAAUUUCAUUGUUUUCAGAGAACCUUGACAACUGCAUAGAUUAUUUUAAAGACAAUAAGCAUUUUUAAUGAUGCAGAUUUAUUAUUUGUGCGAAUGCAUUAAUAACAAUUCUAUUAAGCUGAUGCUUCAAUUUUUGAAGUUAUU
rnacentral:tRNA from 1 species